rnacentral:ncRNA from 1 species
GAAAUAUCGUUGAACAGAAGAGUAGUAAAACUAGCGAUUCAAGAGAGGUACCGGUAGGUGGAAGGUACUAUCGAAUAGGUUAUGAAGAUGGUCUGGGAGAUAAAUACGCCGAUAGGUAGGUGUGUUCGGGUCAUUCCCCCGUUACCAGGAAUACCAGUUACGCUGUAAGGCCAGCUGGGUAGAGGGAAGCUUAGGCUUCUGAAUAAAAGGUGGUAACACGAUCACAUCGUCCUUUUA